UGGGGAAUUUUCCGCAAUGGGGGCAACCCUGAUGGAGCGACGCCGCGUGGAGGAUGAAGGUUUUCGGAUUGUAAACUCCUGUCAUGAGAGAACAAAGCCCGCAAGGGUCUGAUAGUAUCUCAAGAGGAAGGGACGGCUAACUCUGUGCCAGCAGCCGCGGUAAUACAGAGGUCCCCAGCGUUGUUCGGAUUCACUGGGCGUAAAGGGUGCGUAGGUGGCGGGGAAAGUUGCGUGUUAAAUCUCAAGGCUUAACCUUGAAACCGCUCGCAAUACUACUCUGCUAGAGGACUGUAGAGGAGAAUGGAAUUCACGGUGUAGCAGUGAAAUGCGUAGAUAUCGUGAGGAAGACCAGUGGCGAAGGCGAUUCUCUGGGCAGUUCCUGACACUGAGGCACGAAGGCCAGGGGAGCAAAAGGGAUUAGAUACCCCUGUAGU
rnacentral:rRNA from 1 species